GAUGAACGCUGGCGGCAUGCCUAACACAUGCAAGUCGAUCGGUAAGGCUCUUCGGAGUACACGAGAGGCGGACGGCUGAGUAACGCGUAGGAACACACCCUGCAGUGAGGGAUAAGACACCGAAAGAGGUUCUAAUACCGCAUACGGUCUUCGGAUUAAAGCAGUUAUGCGGUGAAGGAGUGGCCUGCGUCAUAUUGGAUAGUGGGUGAGGUAAUGGCUCACCAAGUCGAUGAUGUGUAGCUGGUCUGAGAGGAUGAUCAGCCAGACUGGAACUGAGACACGGUCCAGACUCCUACGGAAGGCAGCAGUGAGGAAUAUUACACAAUGAGCGAAAGCUUGAUGGAGCAAUGCCGCGUGCAGGAUGAAGGCCCUCGGGUUGUAAACUGCUUUUAUAAGAGAAGAUUAUGACGGUAACUUAUGAAUAAGGGACGGCUAACUACGUG
rnacentral:rRNA from 1 species